AGCUCUGGCUUCUCCGCCGCGCAGGUCUGGACCGAGUCUUCAUCAUAAGACUGUAGGAGAGUUACCGAAUAAUUCCUUCCAGAGUUGUUCGCCCAAAACUCUCCAUCUGACGUCUCAUAUCGAACAACAAAAUCAAUGCGUGCUCCGUUGAACAAGUACGGCGGAGCAAAGGACAGCUUCACGGAGAACUUGUCCGUUUCGCCGUCGUUUGAGUCCUGGACGUACUCGGCUGGGUAAUCAAAGUGAUUGAUCCAACCGUCCAUAGUCGACCUGACAUAGACUGAUUUGUGAAAAGAAAUGUUAAGCACACGAAUGACCACGUCGAAGGAUAGAGGCUCGUCUGGCACAGGUGUCACGCUGUCCACCUCCAGCUUGUUGGUGUGGACCGCGAGUAAAAGCUCCGGGCCGGUGAGCACCUGGAACUCCGGCCACAGACGGUUUGCUGAAAAAUCAAAAAGAUUGAAAAAAGGAGACUAUGAUGGAGAUUGCAGUUGGUAAAGCUUUUUUUAUUUCUGUCAGGUAUUGUAUUAGAGAUUAAUCUUGAUUAACCAUAAUAAAGAAUACUCAUAUUUAUCAG
rnacentral:lncRNA from 1 species